UUUAAAGAUUCCAAGUAAGAAGAGCUAAAUGCAAGAGCAAUAAAUAAAUAAAUAAAUAAAAACAGCAAGUAUUGGAGAGCAGAGUGGUCAUAAAAGAAAAUUAAGUUGAAAGACAUGGUGCUGGAGGAAUUGUUAGGUUCUGGGUUUUUCUCCACUAGAUGGAGUCCUGGAGGCGGCUGCACAGGGGACGGACCUUUGACGUCAUCCACACACUGGUCAGCAAUUACGUCCUUACCUGCGGCUUAAGAGAAGCGGUUUACCAACUCUUUGAUGCCAGAUUGUUGACUAGUGAUGGACUUACCCGAGCAUCCGGAUCUGGACCUCCGCUCCCAGUUCCCCCCUUGUGAUACUGGCGGAGGUCACCCGCCAGAUGCCCGAGUCUCCACUGCAACUUUACAGUUCAAUCCUUCUCCAAUCCUCACUCAAAUUGGCAAACCGUCCGCACAGUUGUUCUCCAAGCCCUGGGCGACCUGUCCAUUCCCCAACACCAGCUCAGAUCAAGCCGCUGCUCCUAGCUUCCGUCAAGGACUCGACGUUUCCUGGCAUACUCCUCCGUAACCAAAGAAACGGAAACCCAGAACCUCUGACUUCCUCCAAAGGUUUCACACGCCUGUAAGUUCCUCCUUCCUCUCUGAUCACAACGCUAAUUUCCUACAACCUCAAACUCAUCAUCUCCCCUGUGUUUUUUUCUUAGUGUACUGUUGGUGCUGCUGCCCGCCGCUCAAACCAGUUUCCCUCCUGCUCAUAAUAAACCUGUUAAACUU